rnacentral:misc_RNA from 1 species
GUGAAUCAUCAAAUUUUUGAACGCAGAUUGCACUCUCUUCGGAGAGUAUGCCUGUUUUGGGUUCAUCCUAAAAAAAAAUCGACAUAGUUGCUGGUUCGCGUUGACGUUCUUCGUAAAUUGGGUCAUCUUAAACCGUUGUGUUUUAAGCGGCUUAAAAUUUUCUUUUCGAUUUCACUAACGUUUCUAAGAUUUACUUCUUAUACGGUUAAGAUAGCGUUCUUUUUUUGACAUUGUCGUGG